rnacentral:rRNA from 1 species
GGUCAAGUUAGAAAGAGCGUAGGGUGAAUGCCUUGGCGCUGGGAGCCGAUGAAGGACGUGGUAAGCUGCGAUAAGCUUUGGGGAGGUGCAAGCAACCUUUGAUCCAGAGAUUUCCGAAUGGGGAAACCUGCUUGGGGUAAUGCUCAAGUAUCCAUACAUGAAUACAUAGUGUAUGGAGGGGAACCCGGGGAACUGAAACAUCUAAGUACCCGGAGGAAGAGAAAGAAAAUUCGAUUUCCUAAGUAGCGGCGAGCGAAAGGGAAACAGCCCAAACCUAGAUGGUUUACCAUUUAGGGGUUAGGACAGUCAACAAAUAAGAGGUAUCUUAGUCGAAAAGCUUUGGAAAAUGCUGCCGCAGAGGGUAAAAGCCCCGUAGACGAAAAGAGAAGACUUUAUGACUGCACCAGAGUACCACGAGACACGUGAAACCUUGUGGGAAUAUCGGGGGACCACCCCCGAAGGCUAAAUACUACCCAGCGACCGAUAGAGAAUAGUACCGUGAGGGAAAGGUGAAAAGAACCCCGGGAGGGGAGUGAAAUAGAACCUGAAACCCUAUGCUUACAAGCUGUAGGAGUCCUUUAUAUGGAUGACUGCGUACUUUUUGUAGAACGGGCCAACGAGUUGCAAUAUGUUGCAAGGUUAAGUAUUUAAGAUACGAAGCCGCAGCGAAAGCGAGUCUUAAAUGGGCGUUUUAGUUGCAUAUUGCAGACCCGAAACCAGGCGACCUACCCAUGGUCAGGAUGAAGUUUCCUUAACCGGAAAUGGAGGUCCGAACCCACGCACGUUGAAAAGUGCGGGGAUGAACUGUGGGUAGAGGUGAAAUUCCAAUCGAGCCUGGAGAUAGCUGGUUCUCUCCGAAAUAGCUUUAGGGCUAGCGUCAGAGUUUAGAUUGCAGGAGGUAGAGCACUGACUGUCCUAGGGGCCCUUUGGGUUACCGAAGACUAUCAAACUCCGAAUGCCUGUAUAUUAUAUCUGGCAGUCAGACUAUGAGUGAUAAGAUCCAUGGUCAAGGUG